AUCAAGAUGGCAGAAUAAUGCCCUAGAUUUAAGCUCUAGUUAUGGGGAGUUUCCCCUCUUGAUA
rnacentral:tRNA from 1 species